CGAGGGGAGACCCGGCCCGCGCUCUGCGGCCGGGGCGUAGCUCUAGCUCAUCCCCCACCAGUUCAGCCACGGUAGGAUGAGGAGGAUGAGGGUUUGCGGGAGGAAAAGCUUUGGAGAGAUGGGGUGCGGGACUAUGGAACCCGCUUGAGUCCAGUAGGCCAGCGCGGGUCAUUUCCAUAAGAAAGCCGCAACCCAGCUGGAGGCUGCGGUUCUUCAUGGCCUCCCUGCCCCCACCAUCAUUGGCAGCGUGUCGCGGGCUUCUCUGCAGCCUAGAUCUAGGCGACUGGUGUGGAUUGGUGUUGAUGAGAUGUGGCUUCCAGCGUUGCCCGACUCAGACCUGUUUCCAGUCUGGAUGGAGCGGACCGACUGUGUGGGGCCUUUCUACCUGGAGAAAAUCAAGAGUAUGUAACUUUCCCUGCAGAUGGUCUGUCUGUAAGAGCUGACACAGGAACCUUUGGGAGCCAGUAUCUAUUUUGUUUCCGACUGCAAAGUUCCAGCCAAUGAUUUGGAGGGGGGCCGGCACCUUCUGCUGGGAGCUAGUCUGGGAGGGAACAACUCAUUCCUGAGUUCUCUUUCGCAAACAUAUCUCUUGUCUAUUAAAAUAAUAGUAAUAAAAAUAAGAAUAAUAAUUAAAA
rnacentral:lncRNA from 1 species